AUUACGGUCACCGACUUCAGGUACCCCAGACUUCCAUGGCUUGACGGGCGGUGUGUACAAGGCCCGGGAACGUAUUCACCGCGCCAUGGCUGAUGCGCGAUUACUAGCGAUUCCAGCUUCAUAGAGUCGAGUUGCAGACUCCAAUCCGAACUGAGACCGGCUUUCGAGAUUCGCAUCCUGUCACCAGGUAGCUGCCCUCUGUACCGGCCAUUGUAUUACGUGUGUGGCCCAAGACGUAAGGGCCGUGAUGAUUUGACGUCAUCCCCACCUUCCUCUCUACUUGCGUAGGCAGUCCCAACAGAGUCCCCAACUGAAUGAUGGCAACUGUUGGCAGGGGUUGCGCUCGUUGCAGGACUUAACCUAACACCUCACGGCACGAGCUGACGACAACCAUGCAGCACCUUGAAAAUUGCCCGAAGGAGGAUCUAUUUCUAAAUCUGUCAAUUCCCAUUUAAGUCUUGGUAAGGUUCCUCGCGUAUCAUCGAAUUAAACCACAUAAUCCACCGCUUGUGCGGGCCCCCGUCAAUUCCUUUGAGUUUCAUCCUUGCGGACGUACUCCCCAGGUGGCUAACUUAUCACUUUCGCUUGGUCUCUGAACCCGAAGAUCCAAAAACGAGUUAGCAUCGUUUACGGCGUGGACCACCAGGGUAUCUAAUCCUGUUCGCUCCCCACGCUUUCGUCCAUCAGCGUCAGUUAAAUCUUAGUGACCUGCCUUCGCAAUCGGUGUUCUAAGUAAUAUCUAUGCAUUUCACCGCUACACUACUUAUUCCAGCCACUUCAAAUUUACUCAAGGCCUGCAGUAUCAAUGGCAGUUUCAUAGUUAAGCUAUGAGAUUUCACCACUGACUUACAGGCCCGCCUACGGACCCUUUAAACCCAAUAAAUCCGGAUAACGCUCGCACCCUCCGUAUUACCGCGGCUGCUGGCACGGAGUUAGCCGGUGCUUAUUCGUACAGUACCUUCAGCUGCCCUCACGAGGGCAGGUUUAUCCCUGUACAAAAGAAGUUUACAAUCCAUAGGACCGUCAUCCUUCACGCGGGAUGGCUGGAUCAGGCUUCCACCCAUUGUCCAAUAUUCCUCACUGCUGCCUCCCGUAGGAGUCUGGUCCGUGUCUCAGUACCAGUGUGGGGGAUCUCCCUCUCAGGACCCCUAAAGAUCAUCGACUUGGUGGGCCGUUACCCCGCCAACUAUCUAAUCUUGCGCGUGCCCAUCUCUAUCCGCCGAGGCUUUCAAUGGCGACCGAUGCCGGACACCAUAUUAUGGGGUAUUAAUCUUCCUUUCGAAAGGCUAUCCCCCAGAUAAAGGCAGGUUGCACACGUGUUACGCACCCGUACGCCGCUCUCUGGAUAGCAAGCUAUCCAUACCGCUCGGCUGCA
rnacentral:rRNA from 1 species